AGCUCCAAUAGCGUAUAUUAAAGUUGUUGCGGUUAAAAAGCUCGUAGUUGGAUCUCGGCGGGCAGGGGGCGGUCCGUUAUUUGACGCGACUGCCCCAUUUGCCCGUGUAUCUUCGGCGGAACUCCCGGGGUGCUCUUCGCCGAGUGUCCCGUUGGGGGCCGCCAGCUUUACCUUGAAAAAAUUAGAGUGCUUAAAGCAGGCUCGACACGCCUGAAUAUUUGUGCAUGGAAUAAUGGAAUAGGACGUCGUUCCUAUUUUGUUGGUUUUCGGGAAUCGACGUAAUGAUUAAUAGGGACAGCCGGGGGCAUUAGUAUUCAGACGACAGAGGUGAAAUUCUUGGACCGUCUGGCGACUCACUGCUGCGAAAGCGUUUGCCAAGUAUGUUUUCA
rnacentral:rRNA from 1 species